CCACGUGAUGUGGGUAUCGAAUCACUGUGGCAGUCGGUUCCUCAUCUAGUAAUGGGUGGUCUCACAGUGUCCACCCAGCCAGCCCAAUAACAUACUCUCCUUGCUCCCUCCCCGCAGAGGCGAGAAGUACGGCUUCAUCACCUACCGGUGUUCUGAGCACGCGGCCCUCUCUUUGACAAAGGGCGCUGCCCUGAGGAAGCGCAACGAGCCCUCCUUCCAGCUGAGCUACGGAGGGCUCCGGCACUUCUGCUGGCCCAGAUACACUGACUACGAUUCCAAUUCAGAAGAGGCCCUUCCUGCGUCAGGGAAAAGCAAGUAUGAAGCCAUGGAUUUUGACAGCUUACUGAAAGAGGCCCAGCAGAGCCUGCAUUGAUAACAGCCUUAACCCUCGAGGAAUACCUCAAUACCUCAGACAAGGCCCUUCCAAUAUGUUUACGUUUUCAAAGAAAUCAAGUAUAUGAGGAGAGCGAGCGAGCGUGAGAGAACACCCGUGAGAGAGACUUGAAACUGCUGUCCUUUAAAAAAAAAAAAAAUCAAUGUUUACAUUGAACAAAGCUGCUUCUGUCUGUGAG
rnacentral:lncRNA from 1 species